GACGAACGCUGGCGGCGUGCUUAACACAUGCAAGUCGAGCGGUAAGGCCCUUUCGGGGGUACACGAGCGGCGAACGGGUGAGUAACACGUGGGUGACCUGCCUUUAGCUCUGGGAUAAGCCUGGGAAACUGGGUCUAAUACCGGAUAUGACUCCAUGACGCAUGUUGUGGGGUGGAAAGCCUUGUGCGGCUAGGGAUGGGCCCGCGGCCUAUCAGCUUGUUGGUGGGGUGAUGGCCUACCAAGGCGACGACGGGUAGCCGGCCUGAGAGGGCGACCGGCCACACUGGGACUGAGAUACGGCCCAGACUCCUACGGGAGGCAGCAGUGGGGAAUCUUGCGCAAUGGGCGAAAGCCUGACGCAGCGACGCCGCGUGAGGGAUGACGGCCU
rnacentral:rRNA from 1 species